UACGUAGGGGGCAAGCGUUGUCCGGAAUCAUUGGGCGUAAAGAGCGUGUAGGCGGUCCGGUAAGUCCGCUGUGAAAGUCGGGGGCUCAACCCUCGAAUGCCGGUGGAUACUGUCGGGCUAGAGUGCGGAAGAGGCGAGUGGAACUCCUGGUGUAGCGGUGGAAUGCGCAGAUAUCAGGAAGAACACCAACGGCGAAGGCAGCUCGCUGGGACGGAACUGACGCUGGAGGCGCGAAAGCGUGGGGAGCGAACGGG
rnacentral:rRNA from 1 species